GACAGAGGGUGCGAACGUUGUUCGGAAUUACUGGGCGUAAAGCGCAUGUAGGCGGCAGCGCAAGUCGGGCGUGAAAUCCCACGGCUCAACCGUGGAAGUGCACUCGAAACUGCGCAGCUAGAGUCCUGGAGAGGAAGGUGGAAUGCUUGGUGUAGAGGUGAAAUUCGUAGAUAUCAAGCGGAACACCGGUGGCGAAGGCGGCCUUCUGGACAGUGACUGACGCUGAGAUGCGAAAGCGUGGGGAGCAAACCGGG
rnacentral:rRNA from 1 species